rnacentral:lncRNA from 1 species
UAUUAAUAAUGAUAUAUAUAUAAACAAAACACAAUAACUUUACAAAUGAAAAUUCUUUAUAUUUGUGACACUAGACUUCACAACUUUAAUAGUAAAGAGACAAAAUAUUUAUUUAAAUAUUGGUUUCACUCUUUACAAGAUUUAAUUAAUCAUAGUAGAUUAAGGAAUAUAAAACUUUGGCUAGUUUGCAUAAAUUACGUAGACAUUUUAAACUUCACUGAUUUAUUUAAUUACAAAAAUGUAAAAAAUUGUAUCAAAAAAAUAAUGUCACAUUUUCAACACAACAUUAAUGAUGUACAUGAUAAAGGUAAAGUAGUGGAUCCUUUACUGGCAUUUUUAAAAAACGAUUAUUUAAAAAUUAAAGAAUGUGACAAAGUUGCAGUUUUAUCAAGUAACAUUUAUAUUUGGGCUGACAAAUUACAAGAAUUAAAAUUUAUUGGAGAUCGAUAUUGCUCAUGCUCUUGCAAAUUUGUUUUCUUUAAUGUCCAAAACAAACUGAACGAAAACAAAAAAAAAAUAGAACAACUUUGUUGCGAAUUAAAUGCAUAUAGUUGUUUUAUUUUUAAAAUCGUUGAGUUAAAUAAAAUUAACAUCUUACAAAUAUCAAAAGACAUUUUGGAUGUAAAGUUUGUUGUAUCAUUCAUUUUUAGUUUAAAAAAUGAGCUAUUACUCCAGUGUGAAGCAAGGCCCCUCAUUACUGAGUUGGAAAAUGAGACAUAUAUCGGGUUUAAUAAACUACUAAUUGAAUUUGACAUAAGAGCAAAAGCUUUAAAGGAAGCCAUAUCACAACACUUGAUUUAUGGGAUACCAAUUUUUUUAAGCAGCGAACCAUUUUCUGAACAUAAUUUAAUUUCUUUAAAUUCUCUUGCAAAAGAAUUAUACGAAAAUUUUCACUGUAAUAUAUGCAUAAAAAUAUACUAUAGGAACAUGUACUAAUACUGAGGUCUAACAUAAAUCCUAUUGAUUUAAAAAUGCAGUAAUAAUAAAAAUAAAAAAUAAAAAAUAAAAAACA